AACCCACCUUUGAGGAUGC
rnacentral:piRNA from 1 species